GGCAAGGGGAGAAGAGCUGAAUAAGGAAGGCUGCCAAGGCCUGAACUUUCGCAGCUGUGAUUUAUUAAUCCUGGCAAUUACACUCGCCCGCAGCGAUGCUGCGGCUCAAAGAGUUUGUUUCAUGUCCCUAAUAAAAGCCUGUGUGUUUCUCUCCAAACACGUAGAGCUGCCUUUCAAACGACUUGCUGUGUUAAUAGACUGGUUUCAGAACAUUUCCAAAACAGACUCGGUGUUUGCCUCUGUUUUCUUACGCAGCAUGCAGGAAGCCUGCAGUGCGCCACUGCCUUGCUAGCCAGGCGCCUACACUGUGCGCUGCAGGAACUGUGCGCAAUUUUGGACACAAUUUCUGUCAUAUAUUUGACGCUCUGUCGGAGCCUUCUUACUCAUCGCUACAGGUCAGCCCUCUAGGACAACAGUGAUGGUCCUGAGGCUCCUGAAGGCAGAGCAGCUUCCUUGCUGAAUUCUGCAGUCUAUUUGGGGGCUGGAAUCCUAGCAUCUGCAGGGCAGGGCAGCCAUACAGAAGUCUCCCAGUCUCCCUUGCGGAGGCUUUCCCCUCGACCCUGAGUGGGCCUUGCCAGCCACUGCUUUCUCCACCUUUGUCUCUGCCACUCCAAAUCACUUGCUUAAAAACAAACCUAUUUGGAAAUAAAGUCCUUCUUGUAGUGAUAACAUGGAAUUUUCUAGAAGAUAAAUUGGAAUUUUUGUAGUGAGUAGACUCCACUUAGCAUAAGAAAUUAGACACAAGUGAAUGACAUGUCUGUGUAUCUCCCCCACCCCUUGUCCUACCCCUGACAUAGAAAUGGUUACUCCCCAACACUGCGUGUGUUACUAAGUGUUUUUCAGUGAAUGACCCAAUUCUGCCUUGAAAAAUCACCCUGGCCUCCUAGCUAAGGCCCUCCCCUGGCACAAAAAUUUAUCAGGCAGUGUAUCACAGCCAAGCAGCUGCCCUGUGGAGAUAGACGAGACGGGCUGACAACUGCCUAAGAAGAAUCCUGGUUCAAUACCAAGCUAACAAGGAAAUCAAGGAAUCCCACUGCUGUUCCUUAAGAAGAAUAUGGCACCCCAUCCAAAAAAAAAAAAAAAAUGACGCCUGUCCAAACCUCAACUCAGAAUGCUUAUGUUUAUAUUCCAAACAGACUCCCUGGGCUACUAAGUUUCUUUUUACUAUUUGGCUAAAAGUUCCAGAAACAAGCCAUAAUUAUUUCAGCCACAGAACAGAUGUAGGGAUCCUCAUUCAGAAUCCUUCCACAUGAAAUGCUCCUCAGGGAGAAGCCUUCUCUCUCCCACCCCCAUCCCAUCUCAAACUGCCAUUUGUUUCCCCAGGGAAUAAAUGUCCCAUACAAAGCCCAGGGUUUGCUGCCACUCAUCUGGACACUGGAAGCAAUGUUCUAUGGCAGGAACAAGGGGCCUUUGAGUGAGCAGUCAUGAGUUUUGGAGUGGAAACAAAAGUAUAAUUGAUAAGCUUUCUUAUUGGAACUUUGUCUCCAAAGACACCAAGGAAUAAUUUUACAUGCCUCAAAAAAUCUACUUUGCAUUCCAUUUUGAAAGGAUGGUUAUGGGGCAGCUUGGGUGAGGUCACAGUCAUGGUGACAAUACUUUUAAAGUCCAAGUUGAUGGCCUCUUGAAGAGGUGUGGAGUCAGGCUGAGGGAGAGACCCAUGGGGCGAGUCAGGAACUCCCAGGCUAGGAAGGACCUUCACAGUUUCUGUAUAACAGAUGUGGGCACACAGGGCUCUAUGUACAUUAGGGGAGGGAUGGAACUCACAUAUGGCAGCCUAGGGCUCUACCACUAAGCCUUAUUCCAGCUCUGAGAUACAGAACAUCUGACUCUAAUCCAGAACAUCUAACUGUAAUCCAGCAAAACAAGGAAACCGCAGAACGAACCAGCAAGAUACCACAUUCCUUUCUAUUUUCAGAAAGUAAAAUCUGUAUUCUUUGCAGAAGGAGUCCAGUAGGAAAGCCUAAGUUGCAGUCAUUCGUGUGUGAACAAAGGUAGAUCAAUAAUUAGAGGCUAUGCACAUUUAACCAGACAUUCGUGCUUCAAAGACUCAGGCUUAAUGAGGUAGGAGAGAAUGAGUAAUUAUAAUAAAAAUAGCUGCAAGGGUUUGCCCUUCCCAAACGGCGGUGAAGCCGGAGACAUCUGCACUAACGCCGUGAGGCUGGCUCUCUCUCUGCACUUGGCAUCAUACACAGUCUCAGGAAAAACCUAACACGGUUGAGCAAGGACACUGAAGGGCUCAGCAGCAGCAGCAGCAGCAGCAGCAGAAGGGGUGCUCGGUUUUAAAGGAACAGGACUGGGGACUCAGAUGGAGCUCAGCUGACGGUAUGCUUGUCUGGCAUGCACAAGGCCAUGUCUUUGAUCUAGCACUGCAAAAAACAGGCAUGGUGGUGUGUACACCUGUAAUCCCAACACCCAAGAGGUGGAAGCAUAGGAAUCAUUAGUGCAAGGUCAUGAUCAGGGGAGAUGGCUUGGUGAGCAAAGAGGAUCUAAAUUCAGAUCCUCAGCAUCCACAUAAAAGCCAGGCAUGGUGGCAAACCUGUAACCUGAGCAUUUUGAGGGAUGGAGACUCAGAAGUCAGCCACUCUAGCCACUAGAACCCUGGUUCAAUGAGAAGCUCUGUCUCAAAAAAGAAAAAAACAAGUAGAGAAUGCUAGAGGAAGACUGCUGAUGUUGACCAAUGCACACAUAUGGGCACAUGCAUCACAUAUACCACACAGCACAAAACAAAAAGGAAAUUCAAGGUCAUCCUUACUUACACAGGGACUUCGAGGUCAGCUUGUGUUAAGGGAGGAGGGAGGCAGAGAGAAAGGGAAGGACUGGGCAGCCAGCACUUCCAGAUAAACGUAGAUUAGGCAGUUGCUAGAUGCUGGCUCAUGACCACACCACACGUACAGGUAUACUGGGACACAGGGCUCCCUGGAACAAGGGGCUCUGGAGCCAAGGAGUUCUUGGAAACCCAACCAGUAACCAUCUUUGGAGAUGGUCAGGACCCUGACCCUAAAGAAAAGAACAACUAGAAGUAAAUGUCUGGCCCAACAUGAUGAUAGCAUAGUCCUUUUACUGAAGGACACAGGGGACUGAACUGUAGCAGGGCCUGGGCCAAUCCACAGCUGUAGAGACAAUGUACCUGCCCUCUGUGGGCAUGCUCUGCUCUGAGACAGGGCCUAGGCUCUGAGGUACCCCAUUUCUAAGAAGAUACUCACUUCAGACAUCCACAUAUUAGCCGACUGAGCCAGGCCCAGGCACCAUGUCUGGAAUGCAUCAAUGAGCAAACAGAGCCUCUUGGAGCUCAUCACUGAAUGCACAGGAGGAUGGACAUAAUGAGAACAAAUCUCUGUAUGUCAGACAGCAGUGUGUGUGAAGGAGAACCAGGCAGUGAGAGUGGGUAGGGUCUCCGACAGUGUGGAGAAUGAAGGUGAUCGGGACAGUGAUUCUAAGCAAAGAUCUGACCCGAGGCAGCUGUGAGAAGGCACACAGGCCCUGGAGGAGGAGCCUCCAUGCAGAGGGCCUAAGGCAGCAGCAGGCCUCUCCAUUCAAGAAACGGCAAGAGGAGCUAUAUGGCUGGAGCACAGGAUGCAGCCAUUGCUGGGUGAUCUGGACAACAGCCCACAAGCCAGCUGAAAAGGCCAAGUGUAAAUAAACAGAGUGACAACCAAUGACGAGGUGAGAAUUCAUGGCCGAACCCACAAGAACAAUCAGAACGGAUCAAGUCCUCUGAGGGACUACUUUCACAAUUUCAAUUGAGUGUGAAACCUCUCGGAGUAAGGAUGCGGCUGUGCAAUACAGCCUUUGGCCAGUUUGUGCAAGGCCCUAGGUCCUGACCCACUACGGUAAACAUCUUCCUGCAGUGCCAAAGUCCUCAGGAGGAAGAGCUGAAGACACGGAGGGAGGCAGUAGGUAACGGGGCCAAAGAAUCCUGUUCUCACAUCAAAAUGAUAACCCUUCACAGGACACUAUUUAAGAAACACCACAACUGCCGGGCAGCAGUGGCGAACACCUUUAAUCCCAGCACUCGGGAGGCAGAGCCAGUGGGAUCUCUGUGAGUUCGAGGCCAGCCUGGUCUACAGAGUGAGUUCCAGGACAGGCACCAAAACUACACAGAGAAACCCUGUCUCAAAGCAAAACAAAACAAAACAACAACAACAACAACAAAAAACCCCACUACAACUAAGUGACAGAAGAAAGUGAGAAAGAAAGACAAACCACAGAAGCUAAAGCAAGAGUCCUACAGGUAACAUGCAAAGGUCCCUUCUCCCGUGGAGAGGAGGGGGUGCAUGUGGGCAAAGGUAACUAAGUCUAACAAGAGCGGAACAGAAAACCUCACAGAUCCUGAUGCCAUCAGUCAGGAGGAAGAGGACGAGGAAGCAUGUGACAGCAUCGAGUGGGACUCAGGCACACCACACUGAGAGAGCCAGUGGUGUUCAGAUAGAGGACAGAACAUGAUAAAAAUGACAGCCCCCGCUUGGGCCUAUUUAUCUGCUCAACAAAUUUUCUCACCACCAACAACACAGAGGUAUGAAGGAGUGAUUCACAUCUGCACUUCUGCCUGAGCAUUUCUGUCUGGUCUGAUCUGGUUAAAUCAGGAAUUAUGUAGGUAGCUUUCUUUUUCUGUAGUAUUAGGUCCAUCCUGAUCCUAAUACAAGUCCCACUGUCCUAUGCUUUCCAGAUUCUUAGCAGGACAGAUAUGUGGGCAGUUCUCCCAAAUCCUGCAGCUUCACCAAGCUUGAGGGGCCGAGUCCUCCAGACCAGGGGCAUGCCGAGGGUGCUGGGGAUACAUCUAGGAAGGGAGGUUUCAGUCCCUUCCACAGAAGCUGUAGGUUCUACCCUGCUCAGCAUUAACUGCAAAGCAGAGGCAGACAUUCCAGAUCCUUGGUUGGAGAGAGGUUGCCCUUUAUCUAGAAAGGGACUUAAGCCAUAGCCAGGAUUUCACACAUGUCAAAGCUCACACAGUCUUUUUAUGCCUCAUUCAAAAACUGGAGGAAAGGUUGAUCGAAUAAGGAACCUGGGGUGAGUAAAUAACAAUUUGGAAGUAAGCUCAAACAUCCUGUGACAUGUACAGACAGACUACUCCUGGGCAUCAGAUAUUUGGGACAGCUGUCUAAGAGCUGAAGUGGCUAAAAUGACCAAAGAGCAGCCUGAGGAAAUCUACGUGCAGACCAUAAACAUGAAGGCAGCACUUAGACAAUGGAGAACAGACUUUAACAAGAAAGUGACUCACAGGCAUGUGGAAAGCCUUUGAACUUCCCUAGAAAACAAAAAUUCAAACUGGUACCUUCCCAGAUUUUGAGUUUAGGAAAAAAUUAAGGCAAGCAAGUAAAGUGAUAAGAGUGAUAUCUACCUGGCAUAAACAAACCUGAAAAUUUGUACUCUGAGUCACAGUUUGCUUUAUCUCAGGGAGUCAUUCAAAUGAAGGAUGAGUGUGCUGGAGUGAGUGAUAACAGAACAUGGAAGUCAACAAAACGGGCUUUCAAGUUUCAAUACACAGGAGUUUAAAAAUCAGCUCUGAUCCUUGGAAUAGAAGAAGGUUAGAAAACCAAGCUUUCAUUCCUUCAUCUAGGAGUUGAGAAGAAAGCAUCUGAUGUAGAGUGCCUAGUGUUCAAUUCACUGACGUGGCUGAUCCUGGGAAUCGAGUCCAACAGGAAAGUGGCGAGCAGAUCAAUAUACAGCAGGGAAGAAAUCAUGGAAUCAAUGUGUAUCGGCCACGUGGAGUAUUGAGCAGAAGUUUAAAACAUAAUUAAGAAGAACCUUGAUAAUGAAAUAUGCUUAAUAUGUGCUGUAAUGGGAAAUUGUUUUAGCGACUGUGAUAGGUGCUGGGGAAAAGUACAUGUGCAUGUCAACACAAACCACAGAAGAUGACAGAUGAGGGAAAGCAUGCGGCUUAUUUCAUUACUUACCGUGUUCUGUGGUUUUGCUUUGUUCUGAGACAGGGUCUCACUAUGGAGAUGGGGCUGGCCUUGAACUGGCAGUGAUCCUCCUGCCUCUGCCUCCUAUGCUGAAAUUGCUUAAAAUGUUUUCUUAGCUGGGCACAGUGGGGCACACUUUUAAUCCUAGCACUGGGGAGGCAGAGGCAGGUGGAUCACCACGGUUUUGAGGCCAGCCUGGUCUACAUAGAGAGACCCUAAUCUAUCUUCCUUCCUUCCUUCCUUCCUUCCUUCCUUCCUUCCUUCCUUCCUUCCUUUCUUUUGUAAGUUUUCUUAAGUGUUACAUUGUUUUUCCAAUAAAUCAAAACUAUUAAAAAAUAGCAAAGAGUUCAAGUUUCUAGUUUGGCCUACAGGAAGCAUAGAUACUGAGGCUUUAUCCUAAUAACAAACUGGGGUUCAAGGUCUCUCUUCAGAUAUGGCGGAGAAUUGAAGCCCUGGAGCAGACCACUGCCCCAGUUGUAGUUAACAUACGGGCAAAUACAGAGACCCACACUUACCAGGGGAGAAGCAGGAGCAGCAGUUCCUUGGCCCCCAGAACCUGGCAGGAAACCUAACUGGUAAUUGAGGACUGCACUCAACAUGGGAGAGGCUGAGAUGGACAGGCCCAGGGACCAGUCUGAGCAUGCCUUUAGGAGUUGUAGCAAUUUUUACAAUGAGAUUAGAGAAAAGCCCGCCUCCCACUUCUAGCAGGGUCAGGAGAAGUCACCAGAGGUUCUGUUCUUCCACAGGCCCACCCUGUUAAGAAACUGCUUAAUCAAAGCUUAACCUUGGGAGGUUUUAUCUGAACCUAAAUGACUCGGAGGAAGAGAAAUCUAACUCUAGCCCUCUCCAGCUGCCUCAUGGGAGGGGAAAAUGCUUUCCAUUAGAUCCUUCUGGCCAUUCCACCUCACCUGAUGGAGAGUUCUGAGUCCAAGGUCAAAAGUACAAGGAUACCGACAGUCCAAGACACACCUGUCAACUCCAGGGCACCUCUCUUGGAGCUGUGACAGGGCAAAACAGUGCAGAGCUUCCCCAAUCUUGUAUUCUUGCUGAGGCCCUUUUAGACUUAACUGGGAUUUAAUCUCCUUGUUGGUAAGCCCUGUGGGAAAUUACCCAACUCUAUUCUAGGAACCCAAGGUCAAGAUGCCCCAGCUAAUUUAUGCAAGCUUCUGUUAAACUGCCUGCUUACGGAAACCUCCCCCUCCAGCUGACUGCUUAUCUUAGCUUCUGUUAAACUGCUUGCUUAUGGAAACCUCUCCCUCCAGCUGACUGCUUAUCUUAGCUUCUGUUAAACUGCUUGCAGGCACAAAACCUCCCCCUGCAUAGGUGGAGAGAGAUACCACGAUGUGGUUUUUGCCUUUAAAAACCCCUUACUCUAACUACUGGGUCCCGAAUACCUGAGUGUAGUCCCAGCCAGCUAGAAUAAAGGCUUUCAAUUGCAGAUA